GGCCCCAUCGUCUAACGGUUAGGACAGCACGCUUUCAAUGUGCAAAUCCGGGUUCAAUUCCCGGUGGGGUCACCA
rnacentral:tRNA from 1 species